CAUCACGCAAGGAGGGGCUGCGUGCUGAGACUUACAUCUUGGAUAAAGAUUGAAGUUCAGAGACUCGGUGUUUAACAACUUGGAAUCCUUCCCUCUUGGUUGAUAAUUUGUAAAUGUUGGCUGAAUAAGUGAAUGAUGCAGUUCUUACACAGAAGACAGUCAAACAACUACAUGAAAAAGUCCUCAACAUCACUAAUCACCGGAAAAAUGCAAAACCACAAUGAGAUACCAUCUCAUACCUGUCAAAAUGACUAUUAUCAGAAAGACGAGAAACAACAAGUGUUGGCAAGGAUGUAGAGAAAAGGAACUCUCCUGCACCAUUGGUGAGAAUGUAACUUGGUGCAGCCACUAUGGAAAACUAAGAGGGUUCCUCAAAACAUUAAAAAUAAAACUACUACAUGAUCCAGCAAUCCCAUUUCUGGGUAUAUAUACAAAGGAAAUGAGAACAGGAUCUUGGGAGAGAUAUCUGCACUCUCAUGUUCAUUGCAGCAUUAUUCACAAUAACCAAGAUAUGGAAACAACCUAAGUGUUCCUCAGCAGAUGAAUGAAUAAAGAUGAGGUGGGGGGGUGUAUAUACAUAUGUACAUAUCAUUCAGCCAUGAGAAAGAAAGACAUCUUGACAUUUGUCACAACAUGGAUAGAACUUGAGGGCACUAGGCUAAAUGAAAUAAGACUGACACUGAAAGACAAAUAUUGUAUGAUCUCAUUUACAUAUGGAAUCUAAAAAAACCAAACAAACAAAACCCAAAAUUCAUAAAACUUGUAGAAACAGAGAAAAAAAGGGUGGUUACCAGGAGCUGGGAGGUGGCAGAGAAGUGAUAUGUUGGUCAAAGGUUAUAAACUUCUAGUUGUAAGAUAAAUAAGUUCUGGGGAAUCUAAUGUACAGUAUAGUAAUUUACGUUAAUAAUACUGUAUUGUAUACAUGAAAGUUGCUAAGAGAGUAUAUCUUAAAUAUUCUUACCACAAAAAAUAAAUGGAAAUUAUGCUACAUGAUUCAGGUAUUAGCUAAUGUUAUGGUAGUAAUUACUUUGCAAUAUAUAUGUGUAUCAAAUCAACAUGUUGUACACCUUAAAUUUACCCAAUGUUAUAUAUCAUUUAUAUCUAAAUAAAGCUGGAAAAAAGUACUUACUAAGUUUCUUUGCUUCAUGCCUUCUCCUCUCUUAAUCAGCCUCACCAAUUAUUUUGGUUUAAGAUUUUCUGCUAGGUUUUCCCUUUGAUGCAUCUUUCCUGGAUGUCUUUGUGAAGAAAACAUAAACGAAUAGAAAUUCCAUUGCAUGGCUCUGUCACUAUUUGAGUGUACACUUGACUUCAGAAGGUCUUUAUUUGCACUGAACCUUUAAACAUGUUGAAGUUCCGAUAUUUGGGCUUUCAAAUCUAAUCAAACUUAUCCUGGAGUAGAAGGGAUUCACACCUCAACACAAACAAGGUUUCUUUCAACCUAUCACAUGGGUGGACUUUGAGGGCAUUAUGCUAACUGAAGUAAGUUGGAGAAAGACAAAUACUGUAGGAUAUCACUUAUAUGUGGAAUUUUUAAGAAGUCAAAUUCAUAGAAACAGAGACUAGAAUGGUGGUUACUAGAGGCAGGGGGUUGGGGGUAAUCAGGAGAUGUCAGCCAAAGAGUACAAACUUCCAGUUUUAAGAUGAAUAAGUUCUCUGGGUCUAAUUACUUUACGGUGAUUUUAGCUAAUAAAACUGUUUAAUAUACUUGAAAGUUGCUAAGAGUAGACCUUAAAUGUUCUCACCACAAAAAAGAAAUGGUAGUUAUGUGACACGAUGGA